UACGUAGGUGGCAAGCGUUUGUCCGGAUUUAUUGGGUUUAAAGGGUGCGUAGGCGGCUUUGUAAGUCAGUGGUGAAAUAUGGCAGCUCAACUGUCAGGGUGCCAUUGAUACUGCAGAGCUUGAGUACAGAUGAGGUAGGCGGAAUUGACGGUGUAGCGGUGAAAUGCUUAGAUAUCGUCAAGAACACCGAUAGCGAAGGCAGCUUACUGGGCUGUAACUGACGCUGAGGCACGAAAGUGUGGGGAUCAAACAGGG
rnacentral:rRNA from 1 species